CCAGAUUCAAUCAAAAACGAACGGCCCAGAUUAAAAGAAAAUGAACGGCUGUGAUCAAAAGGCAAGGGGUUAUAAAUAGAACCUCCACACCAGACCACAAACCCUAGCCGCCCGCCGCUCGCCGGAGAAGACGAACCAGAGGCCGACCGCCGCCACCCGCCGCCACUCGCCGCCGCACCGGGGAAAUUUCCGACCGCCGAUCGAGGUAAAUUUCAUACCCCCGACUCGUUUUUCCCCACUGAUUCCUCCUAUGGCCAAAUCGAAACCGAAAUCCCGGCCAAACGGCCGGAAUACGCGGCCGAAGCCCAGCGGCGCCGCCGCGCCCCCUCUCGGUUUUUGCCUCCGACGAGGCCCUUCCCGGCCUCCGUUCGAUGCAAUUUUUAUAUCACCGUGAUCACCAUUCUUUUCUCUACAGGUUGACCGGAGCCGAAUCACCAAAACACGAACCUCGCCGGAGAGCCGCUGCACCCGAGAGCGCCGCCGCCGGUAAGCUCCGUUUUUCCGUGAUUUUUUGGCCCCCCGAGGGCCCUAAGGUUCUUUUCUGACAAGGACCAAUGCGAGUGUGGCCGAAUUCGGCCGAAAACGGCCGAAAACAGCCAACCCGAGGCGACUCGCCGCCGCCAGCGGCGGCGCCGUCGCCGGAGCACGGCGGAGCCGCCGUGCCGGAGUUGCGAUUUGGGCCGAAAGAGGCCCUGGGCCUAAUUUGGAAUUUUUUUGGAACACGUGCAGGUACUGUUAGUGUGUUUCAGUUCCCCGAGAAAAAUUCAGGGAAAAUUAGGGACAGCCUGCAGGCGCACUGUGAAUCGUAUUCGGAUCUCGAAAACAAGUAAGGACCCCUCACCUUAUUUCCUAUCACGGUAUUAAAGUUCAAAAUGAUAAAACGGUAUUUCUUGAAUUAAUGCAUGUGUGAAAUUGCUUAAGGUAGCUAAUGGAGCCCGAGUCUAGUGUGAUUGGUGGUUUACUGUUAUUUGGCCUGUUUACAGCUUUAAAUGCAGAAUGAGGUUUGAUGUGUUCAUUUUACAGAUUUGUGUGCAUGUACUACGUUUUUAUUAAUUAUGGGUUGAAUGACUGAAAAAACUGAUAUUGUAUGUUGUCUGUUGGUAUGAAUUACGAUUUGCUUGUUUAAAUGUGAAUUGAUGAUGCUGAUUGAGGAAAAGGAAAAUGAAAGAUUGUAUAGACUGAUAAUUGUAUUAUGGGGGUCAGCCUGACUAGAUAUCCUGGGAGAUGGUGGACGGACCGGGUCCGUAGGGAACCCUACCGGGAUUGUGGUCUCACAUGCCGGACGGGGUAUGGAGAUCUUAUGGUUUUGGCGCCCAUACCGGACGGGGUAUGGGGACGGCCCGUUUCACCCUCAUACCGGACGGGGUAUUGAGGUUUAUGGUUUUGGCGCCCAUACCGGACGGGGUAUGGGGACGGCCCGUUUCACCCUCAUACCGGACGGGGUAUUGAGGUUCAUGGUUUUGGCGCCCAUACCGGACGGGGUAUGGGGACGGCCCUGGAAACUGAUUAUGAAUGUUAAAGGUUAACGGGUAGCGGAACCCCUAUGGACCCCCACGGAUACUAGUAGGCUGGUAAAUGAGAAAAAAGGAGAUGUUGUACAAUGAUUGAAUUACAAGAGGCGUGAUAAGUGUUAUGUUUUACAGCUUAGAUUAUUCAAUGAUUAUGAUGAUGUUAUUGUUUUUCUCAUAUUGUUUUCAUAAAUUCCACCAAGGUAAGUGGAUGGUAAAGGUUUUCAUGUUAACAAACGAGUUUAUGGUAAAUUGUGCUCCAUUGGUCUUUUUGUGUUUUUCUACCCACCUUUACCUCCGUGACGGUGAGAUAUCGUGAUGUUCUUGCUGGGCUAGUGUAGCUCACUCCUUAUUUAACCAUUUCAGAUCAGGAAGACAUGGUUCCCGAGCCCGUUCCGCAGGAGGACGACGAAGGGGAUACCUAGAGACUCUGUAGUCAUACUCAUAGUCUUAUUUUCGAGUUCCUCUCUUAGUUAGUUUAAUCUUUUAUAUUUUAAGUACGUUUUUGGUUUUUCGUGUAAGGGAUGUUAACUAAAAUUUUGAUCUCGCUUCCGCAUUCGAUAUAUUUAAAUACUCAUUUCAUUUUAAUAUUUCCGGGGUCGUUACAGUUGGUAUCAGAGCCGCAUUUCCUCGGACCCAUCCCUUACACAAUAGUGCCUUAGAGUAAUACUCAUUGAUAUAUCGUUACUCAAUCAUUACUUGUGAAGACGAGUACACGGGAAUGAGGAGAGGAAGGCCCCCACUAAACCAAGCGGCCCAAGAUAAUUCGCUUCGGGAGGAUUUAGACAGACUAUUUGAGAUGGUGGAGGCUCUCGUAACUGCCCAGCAAAGGCAAGAGGAGAGAAGGGAGUUACCCGGACCUCCUCCGCUAGCGCAGGUUGAGCCCCCGCUACAGUAGGCUGAUCUCGAGCCACCCCGGCAGGAGCCUGUUCCUCCACAGUACCACCCGGCGCCACAGCCGCGGUACGACCCUGUACCACAGCCACGGUACCAGCGGGCGUCGCCACAGCACAUUCCAGUACCCCCACCACAUCAGCAGGUGCCACCACAGGGUCCCCCAGUUAACCCUCAGCCGGCCCAAGUUCCUCUACCUCGGGACCCCGCUACUUCCUUGAUCGACCCCGGCUUCAUAGAGAGGUACAGAAGACUGAACCCUUCUACUUUUGCAGGGGGAUCCUCUUUUGAAGAGGCCCAAUACUAGCUGGCAGAGACUGAAAGAGCUUUCGAGACCUUGGGAGUAGUUCCUGAGCAGAGGGCUGCCAUUGCCUCCUACAUGCUAGUAGGGGAGACAUUGCUAGGAGAGGUUGUCUACAGGGCAUGUGCCGUGGAGAUAGCAGAUAGGAAUUGAGGGUAGACCUGAUAGGGUUAGACACAUGGGAUUUUGAUGUAAUCCUAGGAAUGGAUUGGCUAGCGGUGUAUCACACCACUAUAGAUUGCUUUAACAAAAAGAUUGUAUUUAAUCCUCCCAACGAGGAGCCAUUUACAAGUUAAUAAAAUUAUUCGGUACUGAUUUUCCCUAAUGACAAAUUCUUUUCUUCUUAAUUCCCAGUGCCUUAAUAUUGUAUUUUCCCUAACUAGGUAAACCCAAGAAAGAAGUUUGUAUCCAAGAGAUUCCAGUAGUCCGAGACUUUCUAGACGUAUUUCCGGAUGAACUGCCCGGUCUACCAGGGGACAGAGAGGUCGAGUUCACCAUAGACUUACAGCCAGGAACCCAGCCCAUCUCGGUAGCUCCUUACCAAAUGAGCCGCAUCGAGAUGGAAGAGCUAAGGAAACAAAUCACUGAGCUACAAAACAGUGGCUUCAUUAGACACAGCAUUUCCCCAUGGGGUGCCGGGGUUACUUUUGCAAAAAAAGGGGAUGGAACGUUGAGACUGUGUAUUGAUUAUAGAAGGAUAAACAAGGUAACAAUUAAAAAACAAGUACCCUCUUCCCCGGAUUGAUGACCUUUUCGAUCAGUUGCAGGGUGCACAGGUCUUUUCUAAAAUAGAUCUACGAUCAGGUUACCAUCAGGUAAAAGUGAGAGCAGAAGACAUCCCCAAGACGGCAUUCCGAACCAGGUACGGACACUAUGAGUUCCUGGUUAUGCCGUUUGGGCUAACCAACGCCCCGGCCAUCUUUUUGGAUCUAAUGAACAGAAUCUUCAGAGAGUUUUUGGAUAAAUUUGUCAUCGUGUUCAUCGAUGAUAUCUUAGUCUACUCAAAAAGUAGAGAAGAACAUGCUCAUCAUCUUGCCCAAGUCCUCCAGGUACUCAGGGAAAAGAAGUUGUAUGCAAAGUUGAGCAAGUGUGGAUUUUGGCUCGAGCAAACCGCCUUCCUAGGACAUGUUAUAUCGAAGGAAGGGGUGUCGGUGAACCCCGAAAAGGUUGAAGCGGUACUUGGUUGGGAAAGGCUGACAACAGUUAAGGAAAAUCGCAGUUUCCUAGGGAUGGUGGGUUAUUACCGCCGGUUUGUCGAAGGGUUCUCCAGUCUAGCGGCCCCUCUAACCCGACUCACAAAGAAGAAUGCAAAGUUUGAUUGGAAUGAGAACUGCGAAAGGAGUUUUUCAGAAUUGAAGAAGCGACUGACUACUGCACCCGUGCUGGCUCUACCGAGUGGAUCAGGAGGGUAUACAGUUUAUAGUGAUGCCUCCUAUCUGGGCCUGGGUUGUGUCCUGAUGCAGCAUGGAAAGGUUAUAGCAUAUGGGUCUAGACAGCUAAAGAAUCAUGAGAAGAACUAUCCUACCCAUGACUUGGAGCUUGCCGCAAUCAUACACGCCUUGAAAAUCUGGCGCCAUUAUUUGUAUGGAGAGACCUUUCAGAUCUACACCGAUCAUAAGAGUUUGAAGCACAUCUUCACUCAGAAGGAUCUCAACAUGCGUCAGAGAAGGUGGAUGGAACUCCUCAAGGACUAUGAUUGUGACAUCCUAUACCAUCCAGGUAAGGGCAACGUAGUAGCCGAUGCCCUCAGUAGGAAGAGUGCAGGCACCCUAGCCCAUCUGAUGGUUUCGGAAUGCAGGUCCAUUGGGGCUACGCAGCAGGUUCGACUGCAAGAUCUGAAGAGGGCCACAUGUUUGAGCCACCUAGCAGUCCAACCCGAGUUAAUCCAAAGAAUAAAGGAAGCCCAGUCAGUCGACCCCGCCCUAGUAAACCGCAAGAAGGAUGCAGAACAAGGAGUAAACUCAGAAUUUCAGAUCUCUGCCGACGGAUUGAUUCGUUUCAAGGACAGAAUGUGUGUCCCAGACGACAAUGAAUUAAAAAGAGACAUCAUGACAGAGUCCCAUAGUUCAAGGUUCGCCAUGCAUCCAGGAAGUACAAAAAUGUACCAAACUAUGCGACCCCGAUUCUGGUGGAAUGGGAUGAAGAGAGAUAUAGCCGACUUUGUAUCUAAGUGCUUGGUAUGUCAGCAGGUCAAGGCAGAACAUCAACGCCCAGGGGGGUUGCUUCAGCCUUUACCGAUUCCAGAAUGGAAGUGGGAACACAUCACUAUGGACUUCGUAUCGGGACUACCCAAGGCACGAUCGGGACACGAUGCCAUAUGGGUAAUUGUUGAUCGACUCACUAAGACUUCCCACUUCCUGGCCAUCAGAAUGACUGAUUCGUUGGACAAGUUGGCAAGAAUGUAUGUCCGGGAAAUAGUCAGACUGCAUGGGGUCCCAGUAACAGUGGUGUCCGACAGGGAUCCCAGAUUCACUUCUCGGUUCUGGAAUAGUUUCCAGCAAGCUAUGGGAACAAAGCUGUCCCUUAGUACUGCCUUCCACCCCCAAACCGAUGGACAAUCAGAGAGGACAAUCCGUACGCUGGAGGAUAUGCUCCGAGCUUGUGUCCUUGACUCCGGAGGCCAUUGGGACGACCACCUACCCCUGAUAGAGUUUGCCUACAACAACAGUUACCAAGCAAAAUCGGCAUGGCCCCAUACGAGGCGCUAUACGGGCGUCCGUGCAGGUCACCGAUUUGUUGGGAGGAAGUGGGCGAUAGAAGAUUGUUUGGCCCGGAUUUGGUGGAAGAAACCACGUCCAAGAUAGUUAAGAUCAAGAAGAACAUCCAGACAGCUCAGAGUAGGCAAAAGAGCUAUGCUGAUACCCGGAGGAGAGACCUGGCCUUUGAGAAAGGUGACCGUGUGUUUCUUAAAGUCACCCCCUUCAAGGGAAUUAGUAGGUUCGGCAGAAGGGGAAAAUUAAACCCCAGAUACAUUGGACCCUUUGAAAUCUUAGACAAGAUUGGUACCACUGCCUACAGACUUGCACUGCCCCCUGAGCUCUCCCGGGUUCACAAUGUGUUUCAUGUAUCUAUGCUGCGCAAGUACAAUCCGGACCCUUCUCAUGUCGUGGCUCAUGAACCGCUUUCACUCCGAGAGGACUUGUCUUAUGAAGAAGUACCGGUCAGUAUCACAGACCGAGAAAGCAGAAUACUCCGUAACCGGGAAAUAUCAUUUGUAAAAGUCUUGUGGCAGAACCACACGCCUAGGGAGGCGACUUGGGAGCUGGAAUCAGAAUUUAGGGCCCAAUAUCCUCAUCUGUUUGAUCAAGAGUAAUGAGGCAAAUUUGGGGACCAAAUUUCUUUAUGGGGGGGAGAGUUGUAGCACCCGGAAAGGAGGAGGGGAAGAAAAAAAAAAAAAAAAAAAAAAAAAAAAAAAAAAAAAAAAAAAAAGGGGGGGGGCCACGUCAGCAGCCGCGUCAGCAGCCACGUCAGCAGUCCCGGCCAACCAGUGCCUGCCACGUGGCAAGAUCGCGUCACUCCGAAAGGAGCCACGUUGGCGAUCCGCGUGGGUGCGAUCCGACGGCCCAGAUCAAUCACGCGAUCGGACGGCCCAGAUUCAAUCGCACGGACGGCCCAGAUUCAAUCAAAAACGAACGGCCCAGAUUAAAACAAAAUGAACGGCUGUGAUCAAAAGGCAAGGGGUUAUAAAUAGAACCCCCACACCAGACCACAAACCCUAGCCGCCAGCCGCUCGCCGGAGAAGACGAACCAGAGGCCGACCGCCGCCACCCGCCGCCACUCGCCGCCGCACCGGGGAAAUUUCCGACCGCCGAUCGAGGUAAAUUUCAUACCCCCGACUCGUUUUUCCGCACUGAUUCCUCCUAUGGCCAAAUCGAAACCGAAAUCCCGGCCAAACGGCCGGAAUACGCGGCCGAAGCCCAGCGGCGCCGCCGCGCCCCCUCUCGGUUUUUGCCUCCGACGAGGCCCUUCCCGGCCUCCGUUCGAUGCAAUUUUUAUAUCACCGUGAUCACCAUUCUUUUCUCUACAGGUUGACCGGAGCCGAAUCACCAAAACACGAACCUCGCCGGAGAGCCGCUGCACCCGAGAGCGCCGCCGCCGGUAAGCUCCGUUUUUUCCGUGAUUUUUGGCCCCCCGAGGGCCCU
rnacentral:lncRNA from 1 species